rnacentral:lncRNA from 1 species
GGAUCCAUAAGUCGGUAUAAUGACAAUAUUUAAUACACAUUAUUUACUCAUGACUAAAAUGAAUAAGCUUUGUUAACUUAGCUCGGAGUAAACAGCCGAAAUUUAGGAGCCGAUUAAAAGUGAAAUAAACUUACUAGUGACAAUUACUUAUCUACUUACUCCCAGGAAUAACGUAAACACCCGAAAUCUAGAAGCCGAU